GUUUACGGCCAUGCCACCUUGAACAAGCCCAAUCUCGUCUGAUCUCAGAAGCUAAGUCGGGUUGGGCCUGGUUAGUACUUGGAUGGGAGACCACCUAGGAAGACCAGGUGCUAUAGGCC
rnacentral:rRNA from 1 species